rnacentral:rRNA from 1 species
GACGAACGCUGGCGGCGUGCCUAAUACAUGCAAGUUGAGCGCUGAAGGUUGGUACUUGUACCAACUGGAUGAGCAGCGAACGGGUGAGUAACGCGUGGGGAAUCUGCCUUUGAGCGGGGGACAACAUUUGGAAACGAAUGCCAAUACCGCAUAAAAACUUUAAACACAAGUUUUAAGUUUGAAAGAUGCAAUUGCAUCACUCAAAGAUGAUCCCGCGUUGUAUUAGCUAGUUGGUGAGGUAAAGGCUCACCAAGGCGAUGAUACAUAGCCGACCUGAGAGGGUGAUCGGCCACAUUGGGACUGAGACACGGCCCAAACUCCUACGGGAGGCAGCAGUAGGGAAUCUUCGGCAAUGGACGAAAGUCUGACCGAGCAACGCCGCGGGAGUGAAGAAGGGUGUCGGAUCGUAAAACUCUGUUGGUAGAGAAGAACGUUGGUGAGAGUGGAAAGCUCAUCAAGUGACGGUAACUACCCAGAAAGGGACGGCUAACUACGUG